GAUUUCCGUAACACUUUUUCCGAUGCUUCACCACGAAGAUUCCGACAACAUUAGAGAGUUUGAGCAAGAGAACGAAGUCGGACGACGACGACGUGGACCGUGGUUGACAAUUUUUGCCUGUCUUGCACAUUAUCUUACGCAUUCUGAAUUUAGGGUCAGGCGUGAAGACAGAUUAGAGAUUUAUGUCUAGCUGUUUAUGAAUGCUGACCCAAAUCCUUACCCUGAUCAGGACAAAACAGCGAGACAUGAAUCCAUAUCUCGUCUUCGUUCUUCUGCCUUCG